rnacentral:rRNA from 1 species
ACUGCUAUUUGGGUGAGGAUAAGCCAUGCGAGUUGAAUGGGAAACCUAAAGUUCCCAUGGCAAACUGCUCAGUAACACAUGAUCAACUUACCCUAUAGAGAAAAAUAACUUCGGGAAACUGAGGAUAAUGUUUCAUAGUUGAAUUGGCUUGGAAAAGUUUUUCGACGAAAGGGGUAAAAAAAAUGGUUUUUAUCCGCUAUAGGAUAGGAUCGUGCUCGAUUAUGGUUGUUGGUGAGGUAAUGGCUCACCAAGCCGAUAAUCGAUAGGGGCCGUGAGAGCGGGAGCCCCGAGAUGGGUACUGAGACAACGACCCAGGCCUUACGAGGCGCAGCAGGCGCGAAACCUCCGCAAUACACGAAAGUGUGACGGGGUUACCCAAAGUGUUCAGUUUUGAACUGUGGUAGGUGAGUAAUGUUCCCUACUAGAAAGGAGAGGGCAAGGCUGGUGCCAGCCGCCGCGGUAAAACCAGCUCUUCAAGUGGUCGGGAUAAUUAUUGGGCUUAAAGUGUCCGUAGCCGGUUUAGUAAGUUCCUGGUAAAAUCGGGUAGCUUAACUAUCUGCAUGCUAGGAAUACUGCUAUACUAGAGGACGGGAGAGGUCUGAGGUACUACAGGGGUAGGGGUGAAAUCUUAUAAUCCUUGUAGGACCACCAGUGGCGAAGGCGUCAGACUGGAACGUGCCUGACGGUGAGGGACGAAAGCCAGGGGAGCGAACCGGAUUAGAUACCCGGGUAGUCCUGGCCGUAAACGAUGCAUACUAGUGAUGGUACGGCCAUGAGCCGUAUCAGUGCCGUAGGGAAACCGUUAAGUGUGCCGCCUGGGAAGUACGGUCGCAAGGCUAAAACUUAAAGGAAUUGGCGGGGGAGCACACAAGGGGUGAAGCCUGCGUUCAUUUGAGUCAACGCCGGG